CAACUAUAAAACCGGGGAUCACGUGUUCUUUCUUCCCAGUUUUGUCUUCCUUGGUCAGGUAUGUGGGCUGUUGGACCAUGGAGUUUUGCUCUAUUCUAUACUCCGAUUUUGAUCAUACCGGAGCCAAAUGGAUGAUCUUAAAUUCAUCAGACUUUGUUUCAUAAGUCUUUCAUGCUCUAAAGCAGAUCAUACUGGAGCCAAAUGGAUGAUCUUACAUUCAUCAGACUUUGUUUCAUAAGUCUUUCAUGCUCUAAAGCAGGACCAAUUCUGUAACUUAAAAUGACCAGGGAACUUCACACGAUGAGCGACCCUUGAUGAACGGCCACAUGUGAAGGAGUUUGAGAGAUUUAUGUCCCUGAAGGCCCUUCAGUGCAAACCCCAUGUGGAGAAGAGGACAAAGUACAUGAUGGUUCAGCAUGGAGAAAACACUCUUGACACUAAAGUGUUGUUUGUUUGGGUUUUUUUUUUUUUUUUUUUUUUUUUUUGACUUUCUGUUUGACUACUGUUCAGUUCACAUUUCUCUGAAUGCUGUCACUAACCCUAGGAAUUACUGCUUGUAUUUAAUUAUAUUUAAACAGAAUAAACAAGUCUUGCAGCUGGCACUUACUCUUUUUACAUUCACAAUAAAACUAUUAAACCAUGAGCUGACUUUCUGCAUUUGUGAAAAAUGGUUCUCAGCAUCUUGAAUUAAUCAGUGACCUUGAGAUGUAGUAUAUAAUUAAAAUAAGAGAAACUAACAGUUGAGUGAUUACAGGUGGUUAGUAAAGGUUUUACAGCUAAUCAAAC